AAAGGUCAAAAGUCACACACUGUACAGCUCAGCCUAGGUGGCAUAUGCUUACUAGUAAGCUAGUGCAUUGUAUAAUCAGAAUGUCAUUGUUCCAUGCUAAAGUGUGUUUGCUCCUUGCUAUACAAAAUGCAGAAGGUGUCAUGGAGAAUUCACUUGCAGUUUCCUCUUCCAUACCUAUAUUAAACCCAGUUCUGGCCAUGAUUAGAGUUAAACCCAGUUCUGGCCAUAGUGACACAUCAACUCUCUGAAUCACUAAAUUUGAAUGGUUUUUUCUUAUUUUGUACAUCUUACAAUGUACACUAUGUGGCUAGACGUUUGUGGACACCUGACCAUUACACACACACACACACACACACACACACACACACACACACACACACACACACACACACACACACACACACACACACACACACACAUGCUUUUUGCACAUACAGUUCCAGAUUUCCUUAUUUUCUUCACAGAACACUUUUCACUAGAUGUUGAUGUGUGACUUUGGGAAUUUGUCCUUAUUCAGCUACAAGAGUAUUUGUGAGAUCAUACACUGAUAUCAGAUGAGGUGUUCAGUGGGGUUGAGUCAGGGCUCUGUGCUGGCCUUAUGUGUUUUCAACAUAUGUGGGAAGUACCACAUUUGAGUGUGAUGCUUUUGGCCAUAUAGUGUACGCUCACAAAAACAGAUUUUUUUUUACCAGACUGUUAAGCUUUUUCCUGGUGUCCGGGCUGAGGAUGUGAUGUUAGUGGAAAACGGGUUGGAAAUUCCACAGCAUCGCCAUAUCUUGAUUAUUACAUGCAGAUACACAGGUAGAGCUGCAUGCUGCCCUCUUCAGGACUGGAAGAGAAGUUCUCAUGAAGCGGCACUGGAUUCAGUUUUAUUUUUGGGGGUUACACAAUUACAUGGAGACUGUGAGCUCUGAAAUGUGGACCAAUUUUCUUCUUCUUCUUCUUCUUCUUCUUCUUCUUCUUCUUCUUCUUUUUUUCAUCUCCUCCUCCUCAUCUUCCUUUUUCUUCUUCUUCUUCUUCUUCUUCUUCUUCUUCUUCUUUCUUUCAUCUUCUCCUCAUCUUCCUUUUUCUUCUUCUUCUUCUUCUUCUUCUUCUUCUUCUUCUUCUUCUUCUUCUUCUUUUUUUAGAGGUAUGGCUUUCUUUCGUUUGGAGUCCCACAUAAUACAGGAUUGUAUGGUUUUACAUAAACCACACCAUUUCUUUUAUGAAAAAAAAAGAACGAGCUAGGGUUUGUUUUUGUGACUGAAGACAGCUGGGAUUUGUAGAUGUUGAAAAUUUAUAUCGACAAAAUUCUGUAUGCAUAGGUUUUGUGGAUUUUGUGUGUUUGCCUUUCUUAGAAUUGAAAAAUGGAAGGAUUUUAUUGUCAGUCCAUCAGACCAGCCAGUAUGUACUGUCCAACUAUGAUGAUUUUAUUUUUUAAUAAAAUGAUCAUUUUACUUUACCUAUACUACUUUCUUAAACCUGUUAGAAUUAUUAAAGUCGUGUAAAGUCGUUGAAACAGGUUUUAUUAAAAUUUAUUUGUUAGAGAUUUCAUUUAUGAAUUUUGUGUGGUCAGAGUGUGAAAAAUGUCAUUGCAGCAGUUUAAACAAAAAACAAAAAACAGAGAUGAUGUUUUGGCCUGGUAAUUUGAGCUAGUUUAGACAUGACAUACGACAUGGCGACAAGUAUGCAAAUAAUACACAGUAUACAUGCAGGCCACAGAAAUGUGGUGACAUGCAGGGUUGGAGGAGUUUCUAGUGAAUUUUUUGUGUAACACUAUUUAGUUAAUUUUCUUUUAUAUUUCGAUGUGUUUUAUAUAUUUAAAUGAAUAAUAAAUAUCGUAAUAAAUAUCAUUGCUUUGUUAUUUUUACAGUACAAAAGGCAGAUAGGAGUAUUUUUUACAUUCAUAUUUACAUGUUAUUUGCGUUCAUAAAUUGCUCUGUGUGUGUGUGUGUGUGUGUGUGUGUGUGUGUGUGUGUGUGUGUGUGUGUGU